UACGUAGGGUGCAAGCGUUAAUCGGAAUUACUGGGCGUAAAGCGUGCGCAGGCGGUUUUGUAAGUCUGACGUGAAAUCCCCGGGCUCAACCUGGGAAUUGCGUUGGAGACUGCAAGGCUGGAGUCUGGCAGAGGGGGGUAGAAUUCCACGUGUGAGCAGUGAAAUGCGUAGAGAUGUGGAGGAACACCGAUGGCGAAGGCAGCCCCCUGGGUCAAGACUGACGCUCAUGCACGAAAGCGUGGGGAGC
rnacentral:rRNA from 1 species